UACGGAAGGCAGCAGUGGGGAAGUAUUGCACAAUGGGCGCAAGCCUGAUGCAGCCAUGCCGCGUGUAUGAAAAAGGCCUUCGGGUUGUAAAGUACUUUCAGUCGUGAGGAAGGUGUUAAGGUUAAUAACCUUAGCAAUUGACGUUAGCGACAGAAGAAGCACCGGCUAACUCCGUGCCAGCAGCCGCGGUAAUACGGAGGGUGCGAGCGUUAAUCGGAAUUACUGGGCGUAAAGGGCACGCAGGCGGUUAAUUAAGUUGGAUGUGAAUCCCCGGGCUUAACCUGGGAAUGGCAUUCAAGACUGGUUAGCUAGAGUCUUGUAGAGGGGGUAGAAUUCCAUGUGUAGCGGUGAAAUGGCGUAGAGAUGUGGAGGAAUACCGGUGGCGAAGGCGGCCCCUGGACAAAGACUGACGCUCAUGUGCGAAAGCGUGGGGAGCGAAAC
rnacentral:rRNA from 1 species